GACGAACGCUGGCGGCGUGCCUAAUACAUGCAAGUCGAACGAGAGCGACCGGUGCUUGCACUGGUCAAUCUAGUGGCGAACGGGUGAGUAACACGUGGGUAACCUGCCCAUCAGAGGGGGAUAACAUCCGGAAACGGAUGCUAAAACCGCAUAGGUCUUCGAGCCGCAUGGCUUGAAGAGGAAAAGAGGCGCAAGCUUCUGCUGAUGGAUGGACCCGCGGUGCAUUAGCUAGUUGGUGAGGUAACGGCUCACCAAGGCCGUGAUGCAUAGCCGACCUGAGAGGGUGAUCGGCCACAUUGGGACUGAGACACGGCCCAAACUCCUACGGGAGGCAGCAGUAGGGAAUCUUCCGCAAUGGACGUAAGUCUGACGGAGCAACGCCGCGUGAGUGAAGAAGGUUUUCGGAUCGUAAAACUCUGUUGUUAGAGAAGAACAAGUGCUAGAGUAACUGUUAGCGCCUUGACGGUAUCUAACCAGAAAGCCACGGCUAACUACGUG
rnacentral:rRNA from 1 species